rnacentral:rRNA from 1 species
CUGUUCAGAUUAGCCAUGCAUGUCUCAGUAUAAGCUUCUAUACGGCGAAACUGCGAAUGGCUCAUUAAAACAGUUAUAGUUUAUUUGGUGGUCAGCAAUUACAUGGAUAACCGUGGUAAUUCUAGAGCUAAUACAUGCGCCCAAACCCGACUUCGUGGAAGGGUUGUGUUUAUUAGAUACAGAACCAACCCAGGCUCCGCCUGGCCUUGAGGUGAUUCAUAAUAACCGAACGAAUCGCAUGGCUAUGCCGGCGAUAGACCAUUCAAGUUUCUGACCUAUCAGCUAUCGUCGGUAGGGUAUUGGCCUACCGUGGCAAUGACGGGUAACGGAGAAUUAGGGUUCGAUUCCGGAGAGGGAGCCUGAGAAACGGCUACCACAUCUAAGGAAGGCAGCAGGCGCGCAAAUUACCCAAUCCUGACGCAGGGAGGUAGUGACAAGAAAUAACAAUACAGGGCAUACAUGUCUUGUAAUUGGAAUGAGUAAACUUUAAAUCACUUUAC